UCCAAUGACUCAUCUAAUCUCCCACAGAGGAACCAAAGGGCCCCAGUCAUCACCAAUCCCUUCCAGAAUUCUAAAGGUCUGACAAAUUCAUUUGAAUUGCCAGGCUUCAGCUCCAGAAUUACAUCAGGUUGGUCCUUUUAAACAAAUCCUGCCCCAAAAGUUGCUCCUGUCAUUUGUUCAGAAGGUAUCAUUGAGAAGAACAAACAUAUCCCAAAGGUUUUCAGUUUCAUCUCUGAAACAGUGAGGAGUGGACAGUUGCCUGUGGGAACGUUCUCAAGUGGAAAACAAGAACGGAUGCAGUUCCUCCCUUUCUAGUAUCAAUAGACAGUCUAACACAAGGAACCUGACAAGAUGACUGGCAGCCAUAGCUCUUCACUUUGAGUGUGAUACAUGGACAGGUUGCAUUUCGAUUGCGCUCAUGCUUCUGCACUCAAUAAGGGCCAAGAAAGCUUUGACUUUAGAGAAAGAUAUUCUCAUUCUGCUGGAUGCAGAAACCAGGAAGAUUCCCAUACAAGCCCUGGAGAUGGGAAAGAUAACCUUAUCAUAUGUCAGCAACAGAAUCCGUCCAUAUGAAAAGAACUUUCAUUUAACACUGGGAUGUGGAACAGCUGUGUCUAAUCACUUUGAAAUAUGGCAGCACUCCAGCGAGUUGAAACACUUAGAAGAAAAAAUCACCAAAUGUUUCCAACUAAGCGCACCAGACAGGAUUUAAACAUUCCUUACAAAUUGACCUCUACAUUUUGAAAUUGGUUGCUUUGUACAUCUCUGACUAAAUCAAUGGUGGCAUCAUGAUGUUCCAGGAUGAAACCCAGCGCGGACUCCCAGCAUGGACCCAAAAUCCUGGCCUCAGUGUGGACUCGAAAUCUUUGUCUCAGCCUGGACUUGAACUCCCGGCCUCAGCCUGGACUCGAACUCUCAGCCUCAGCCUGGACUCGAACUCCCGUCCUCAGCGUGGACUCAAACUCCAGGCCUCAGAGUGGACUCGAACUCCCGGCCUCAGCCUGGACUCAAACUCCCGUCCUCAGCGUGGGCUCAAACUCCAGGCCUCAGCCUGGACUUGAACUUCUGGCCACAGUGUGGACUCGGAAUCCUGCCCUCAUCUUGGACUCAGACUCCCACCCUCAGCAUGGACUUGGGCUCCUGGCACUACUGGCCUUGAGGUGAAGUCAAACACGUUCUGGGUUGAGCUCUUAUUUCUCUAUUUUUCUAAUUUAUUGCUGACUUUUUAUUUUUUCAUUUUUCAGUAUUAUUUCCCUAAGAAUCUGCAUUUGAGAAUCUAUACCUAAUUAUCUUCAUACCUAAGAUGGCGCCAUAAAUGGUGACUUGUUAAUUUUCACUGUACUCAUGUGAGUGCAUGUGGCAAUAAAGCUAAUUAAAUUCAAACUAGUCGCAUCUCCGCCACAGGCAUUUCUGAGUAGCUCCAAAUGAGAUUUAAUUCCAAACAUCAGGCCCUAACUCAUGGGAGGGGAAUGAAUCCCGGGACAUCUUUGUGUGUGAUGGAUGCCCCACUUCUGAGAGCUGCUAGCCAGUUGGUAGACCAGGAGAUCACCAUGGUUGGCAGUGCCAACUGUAUCUGUUGUUCAUUUGACAGCUGGGAUCCAAAUUGGAGACCAAGGCGAAAGGUGUGUGGGUCAUAGUCAGGGUUAGGGUUAGGGUUAGGGCAGGUUUGGAAGCCGCAGAGAGAAAGGGGAGGGCAGCUUAUAUGAAAGGCAGAGUGGGCAUCUUACUCUGGGUCCCUACACUCUUGGUGAUGGGUGAUGCCAUUAAGCAUGGAGUGCAGCAAUGGGUGAAGAAGGCAGAUGGUAUGUUGGCCUUCGUAACAAGUACAGGAACUGAGAUAUCUUAUUGCAAUUAGACAGAACAUUAGUGAGAUCACAGUGGGAGUAUUGAGUGCAGUUUUUGGUCUCAUUAUCU